rnacentral:rRNA from 1 species
CGCUGGCGGCGUGCCUAAUACAUGCAAGUCGAACGGUCUUUUCUAUGGAAGCUUGCUUCCACUGAGAAGAUAGUGGCGAACGGGUGAGUAACACGUGGGUAACCUGCCCAUAAGAGGGGGAUAACAUCCGGAAACGGGUGCUAAUACCGCAUAGUUUUCUUGAUCGCAUGAUCGGGAAAGGAAAGACGGCCUUUGUGCUGUCGCUUAUGGAUGGACCCGCGGCGUAUUAGUUAGUUGGUGAGGUAACGGCUCACCAAGACGAUGAUACGUAGCCGACCUGAGAGGGUGAUCGGCCACAUUGGGACUGAGACACGGCCCAAACUCCUACGGGAGGCAGCAGUAGGGAAUCUUCCGCAAUGGACGAAAGUCUGACGGAGCAACGCCGCGUGAGUGAAGGAAGGUUUUCGGAUCGUAAAACUCUGUUGUCAGAGAAGAACAAGUUGGAGAGUAACUGCUCCAGCCUUGACGGUAUCUGACCAGAAAGCCACGGCUAACUACGUGCCAGCCGCCGC